rnacentral:rRNA from 1 species
AUUGAACGCUGGCGGCAUGCCUUACACAUGCAAGUCGAACGGUAACGCGGGGCAACCUGGCGACGAGUGGCGAACGGGUGAGUAAUGCAUCGGAACGUGCCUGGUAGUGGGGGAUAACUGUUCGAAAGAACAGCUAAUACCGCAUACGACCUGAGGGUGAAAGGGGGGGAUCGCAAGACCUCUCGCUAUCAGAGCGGCCGAUGUCGGAUUAGCUAGUUGGUGGGGUAAAGGCCCACCAAGGCAACGAUCCGUAGCUGGUCUGAGAGGACGACCAGCCACACUGGGACUGAGACACGGCCCAGACUCCUACGGGAGGCAGCAGUGGGGAAUUUUGGACAAUGGACGCAAGUCUGAUCCAGCCAUGCCGCGUGCGGGAAGAAGGCCUUCGGGUUGUAAACCGCUUUGUCNGGGAAGAAAUACUUCUGAAUUAAUACCUCGGGAGGAUGACGGUACCUGAAGAAUAAGCACCGGCUAACUACGUG